AUUUCGUAUUUUAGCCUCUUAAGGAUUCUGGCAUGGAUGUGGUCAUCUGGCCUGGCAACAUGUUACUUUUUAAUUUGCCCAUUAGUUCUAAAGUGUCGCCCUUUGUUACCUCUGUUUGAACAGAUUCUUCAGCUGUUCUACUAGGAAAAACAACCUCGGCAAAUGUUUAGGGCAGAGGUGAAUUCUGUAGUGAAAACAAAGCCAGAAAAUGCAUUCAGUUUCUUUGCAGUUGUCCAAUUUGCCUUCAGCAUCCUUGCAACAACUUGUGUUUUCUUGCAACUCUUCUACGAUUUUAUGAUUUUGAUUCCUACCGCCUUAUUUUCCUUAUAUGCAUUUAUCUAUUUAUUUAUUUAUUUACUACAUUUAUAUCUCGCCCAUCUCACCCCGAAGGGGACUCAGAGCGGCUUACAAAAUAAAUUUACAUACAAUAUAUUAUAUUACUAGCAUAGCACAAUACUGGCAUUAAAUUACUAUGUUGUACUAUAUCAAUAUACUUUAAUAUUAUUAGUAAUAUUACAUUAAUAUAUAAUUAAUAUUAUUAUAUUGCACUAUUAGUAUUGUAUCAUAUUACCAUAUAAUACUAUCAAUAUUAUAUGUAUUUACAAUAUAUUAUACAGUUGAGUCUCACUUAUCCAACAUAAACGGGUCGGCAGAACGUUGGAUAAGCGAAUAUGUUGGAUAAUAAGGAGGGAUUAAGGAAAAGCCUAUUACACAUCAAAUUAGGUUAUGAUUUUACAAAUUAAGCACCAAAACAUCAUGUUAUACAACAAAUUUGACAGAAAAAGUAGUUCAAUGUGCAGUAAUGUUAUGUUGUAAUUACUGUAUUUACUAAUUUAGCACCAAAAUAUCAUGAUGUAUUGAAAACAUUGACUACAAAAAUGCGUUGGAUAAUCCAGAACAUUGGUUAAGCGAUUGUUGGAUAAGUGGGACUCUACUGUAUUGUUAUAUAUUAUUGUAAAUUAUAUUGUAUAUGCAUAUUUUCCAUUUCAAGACGGUUGGUUUUGUAUUUGAAAGGCAAGAGGCCACUAUAACCAGAAAUGUAAUCUAAUAAUAUAAACUAUAAGACAGUAUUUCCUAUAUAUGCUCCAUGUGGAACAUGAACUCUGGUUGUCAUUGGACUCACAAACCCUUAAUAUAGAGUUCUGCUUUUUAUGAAUGUAUGUGUGUUUGUAACACAUUGAUUAUAUUUUGGUUUAGAGAUGUUUUUUGGAACCAUUUAGUAUAUUUUGAAUCUCUCAUCCUUGUCUGUACAUUGAAUGUUCUAUGACUAUAUAUAUAAAAGGGUAAUGAAAUUUCGGCCUAGAACAAAACUACACAUCCCGGAAACAAUAAACUUGGCAGCACAACCGCUCAUCCAUGCCUCUAUGUUCAUACAACAAAAAGAAAAGAAAAAUAAAGUUCUAAUUAGAGGGAGAGGAAUAAUUGUUUUUAUCCAAUUGCUGCCAGUUAGAAGGAGACCCACUUGGUCUCCUAGCAACCCACUCAGCCCAGGGGACAGGCAGAGUUAGGCCUCACUCCACACUGCCUAUAAAAUACAGAUUAUCUGAUUUUAACUGGAUUAUAUGGCAGUGUAGACUCAAGGCCCUUCCACUCAGCUAUAUAACCCAUUUAUAAUGGACUUAAUGUAAGGUAAAACCUUUACCCUUUAUCUUAACUACCGCCAAUUCCUCAAUACUUUAUUUCCCAUACCACCAUACUUCGCCACAGCAACGCGUGGCUGGGCACAGCUAGUAGCAUAUAUAGGAAAUAUUGUCUUUUAGUUUAUAUUAUUAGAUUACAUUUCUGGUUAUAGUGGCCUCUUGCCUUUUGCAUUUCGGGGAAUCCCUUCUCUGUAUGGUUUUGUAUUUAUUUGGCCAUGGGCUUAAUUUGCAGGUUGAUGGGAAUGAAAAUGGUCUUAAAAUAGGGAAUAUGCAUGCCCCUUAAUUUUGGGUUGAGUGGUUUAUUUAUUUUGUGUUAUUUGGGUUGAGCGGUAAUAGGAAUUAUGGGAGUUGCAAUCCAAAACACCUGGAGGGAGCGCCCAAGUUUGCCCAGGCCUGUUCUGAACAAUAAGUGACAGACAGGUCUGACACUUGGCAGGUGUGUAAACCUUUUGUGUCGCUUUCAACCCUCUUAACUCCUGUUGCAAGACAUCACCUCCAAACAGCAAGAAAGGCGCCCAAAGUGUGCUGUUCAUUUGCCAGAAGAAAGCAAAUUGCAAACUCCUUUGUUUUCCUUUGAAGCCCUAAUGACAAAUGAGUGGGAGACAGUAGCAAUUAGCAAGGCUGGAGUUUGGGAUGCAAGAGAACAGCGGCAGGGCUUUCUUUUCUUUUCCCUGCAGCAUCAUCAACAGCCCUCAGUAGAUUAAAAAGUAGUGGCAUGAUUAGGAUUUGCAUGACGGGGACAAGAGGGCCUCAUUGACAAUCCCUUCCCAGACCCGAAUCUGAACCUCUGAAUAAACAUCCACAAAGCUCUGAUGCAAGUAUAUGAUAAUGUGCAUUUCUUCUUUUUUCUUUAUCUCAGUGUGACUCAUCGAUUUAGGAUCGGGCGAGGAGGAAGAAAUAAAACAGAAUUCCAUCAUUAGUGAUCAUUUUACAAUACGAAUGGCUCCAGCAACUAGUAGGAAAGAGUUAUAUCAUUCAGUUAUAUCAUUCUGGAUAUUAUUAGUACAAGAGAGACAUGCGGUUUUAUGAUGACAACUCGUAUUAAAGUCCACAAUUCAUUUACUGUGGACUUUAACCCGAAGUAAUUCGUGAGAUAAGCAUUUGAUUCAGUAAUUAAAAUGGCACCGUUAUAUACACUGGGCAACAAGCCAUGCGUAUAUGUGUGUGUGUGGGUGGUCAGGUUGUAUCUUGAUGUCAUUUCCGCAAAGGAUAAUUGCCUGAAAUAGACCAAAGAGUUAAAAAGAAAUGCUGUACAGGUUGUGCCCAUCCUAGAUUUUUUUUCACUUCCCUUUUAUUAAGCUCAAGAAUAAAAAUAAAGAAUAAGCAUAAGAAUAAAUAAAGAAUGUCAAUUAAAGGAAGAUACUAAAUACACCUUGGAAAAGGCUUUGGAAAACAAACUUGCCAUAGCGACGUUCAUGGGCCAUCUAGUCCAACCACCUUCUGCCAUUAUGCAGGAAAAACACAAAGCACUCCCUACAGAUGGCCAUCCAGACCCUGCUUAAUAAUAAUAAUAAUUAACAUCAUCAUCAUAAAAUCAUAGAAUUGGAAGAGAUGUCAAGGAACAUCUAGUCCCACCCCCUACUGCCAUGCAUCAAAGCAUCCCCGACAGAUGGCCAUCCAGCCCCUGUUUAAUACUACUACUACUACUACUACUACUAAUAAUAAUAAUAAUAAUAAUAAUAAUAGAAUCAUAGAGUUGGAAGAGACCACAUGGGCCAUCUAGUUCAACCCCCUUCUGCCAUGCAGGAAAAGCACAAUCAAAGCAUCCCCAACAGAUGGCCAUCCAGCCCCUUUUUAAUAUCACUACUAGUACUACUACUACGAAUAAUAAUAAUAAUAGAAUCAUAGAGUUGAAAGAGACCACAUGGGCCAUCUAGUCCAACCCCCUUCUGCCAUGCAGGAAAAGCACAAUCAAAGCAUCCCCGACAGAUGGCCAUCCAGCCCCUGUUUAAUACUACUACUACUAAUAAUAAUAAUAACAGAAUCAUAGAGUUGGAAGAGACCACAUGGGCCAUAUAGUCCAACCUCCUUCUGUCAUGCAGGGAAAGCACAAUCAAAGCAUCCCCGACAGAUGGCCAUCCAGCCCCUGUUUAAUACAACUACUACUACUACUACUACUACUACUACUAAUAAUAAUAAUAGAAUCAUAGAGUUGGAAGAGACCACAUGGGCCAUAUAGUCCAACCCCCUUCUGCCAUGCAGGAAUAGCACAAUCAAAGCAUCCCCGACAGAUGGCCAUCCAGCCCCUGUUUAAUACUACUACUACUAAUAAUAAUAAUAACAGAAUCAUAGAGUUGGAAGAGACCACAUGGGCCAUAUAGUCCAACCUCCUUCUGUCAUGCAGGGAAAGCACAAUCAAAGCAUCCCCGACAGAUGGCCAUCCAGCCCCUGUUUAAUACAACUACUACUACUACUACUACUACUACUACUAAUAAUAAUAAUAGAAUCAUAGAGUUGGAAGAGACCACAUGGGCCAUAUAGUCCAACCCCCUUCUGCCAUGCAGGAAUAGCACAAUCAAAGCACCCCUGACAGAUGGCCUCCAAGGAAGGAGCUUCCACCACAUGUCACAAUGCAUAAAUUUUAAAAGGAAGUGAAUUUGCAACACACGUAAAACAGAAUCCCAGGAUUCAAAAUAGGAAACGGGCCAAGAGUUGGGUUGUUGGGAGUUUUCCGGGCUGUAUGGCCAUGUUCCCGAAGCCAAGAGUUGAUGAGAAGACUCAUUGGUCUCCCCCAAAUCUUGGAAGGAUCACUCUGUUGUGAACACCGUGUUAACACUGUGACUGAUCUAAUGUGGAGCGUGUUUGUGCCGUAAAUGCCAUGCCGACCAAACAUUAACCACGCCAUCCCUGCUUUGGGUAAUAAUUUGGGUAAGAAAGAGUGUUGCCCGCCCGGGUGUGUAUUCCAACACCAAGAGUAGCAAAUCAUUCAUCUCUUUAUGUUCAAGCAAUGCGAAGAAGGUGAUCCAUAUCAACAUUAGUUCCUCCACCAAAGGGCAAAGUCCAAGAAAGAUGGUUUAUAUGGAUGCGCUCUUAAAUUAGGAAGAUUAUGGGAACUGUUUGAUAUCGUAUAUCAUUUGGGGUGCAUCUACACUAUACAAUUAAUGCAGUUUGACUCUGCUUUAACGGCCAUGGCGCAUUGCUAUGGAAUCCUUAGAAGUGGUAGUUUAUCUGGCAGAGAAGGCUAAAGAUCUUGGAAAACUACAACUCCCAUGCGUCCAUACCUGGAACUGUAAAGUGGUGUUAAACUGCAUUAGUUCUACUGUGUAGACCUUUAGUUGUCUUCUAAACAGCAACAACUGUGUUUGAUCAGACCCGUCUCGCUAUCUCACUGUCCUUCACCACUUCAUUGCUUCUUUUAUAUUAUAAUUGUUGAUAUUCUUUUGCUCCUGGAAGGCACUUUUAAGACUCUUCGAGGACCCUUUCAUCUCAAAACGCAUUGGAUUACCUCUUGCUCACACUCAUACACAUUCCAUUGUAGCCGCGCUGAUCGAGAGGUGUGAUAUUUGGUUAUUGUUUAGCCUAAAUCACUGAAAAUACAAUCCGAUGGCUGUGGAAGAUAGGACACAAAUACAGGCUUUUUUUUUUCAUUUGUUUCAAGCCGAGGCAUCAGAAGCCAUUGUUCUCAAUGAGACUGAAGAAAGCAAAUAUUCCAGGCUUAUCUUAGGCUGUCUUUGGCUACUCCGAGUUUUCAUUAGCUCACCAGGAGUUUUUCCCACUGAAGCGCCGAAGUUUCCCAGCGUCCUGCUUCAAAGUCAUAGCCGUUCUCGACUGAACGACUGGGAAACUCUCUCCAAAGAAGUGAAGGAAGGAAGACGCCGCAAGAAAGUCUUCGGAUGGGAAGCGCAAGAUAACGCACAAGAGAGAUUUAUUACCAUCAGCUGGUUUGUUUAUCAGCAUCACACAAUGACUGAAGAAAGCAUAAGACACAGGAAACAGAGUUCAGACCAAGGACUAGAUGGACUUUCCCUUGAAAGCAAGAAAUCUAAAUCCAUGAACCUACAAAAAGAGGUGGGUCUGAUCAGUGGCAUCUGCGUCAUUGUUGGCACCGUGAUCGGUUCGGGGAUCUUUAUCUCUCCGAAGGCGGUUCUGGCUAACGUUGGAGCCGUCGGACCCUGUUUAAUCAUCUGGGCAGCCUGUGGAGUACUUGCCACGCUGGGAGCACUAUGUUUUGCUGAACUUGGCACGAUGAUAACAAAAUCAGGAGGGGAAUACCCUUACCUGAUGGAAGCAUUUGGCCCCAUUCCUGCGUAUUUGUUUUCCUGGGCGAGUCUCAUCGUGAUCAAGCCUUCCUCUUUUGCCAUCAUCUGCCUCAGCUUUGCGGAAUACGUGUCGGCUCCGUUUUAUCCGGGAUGUGACCCUCCCAUCAUUGUUAUCAAGUGUCUGGCAGCUGUAGCUAUCGUUACUAUUACAACCGUGAAUGCGCUGAGUGUGAAGCUGGCCAGCUACCUGCAGAAUCUCCUCACUGCUGCGAAAAUGGUGAUCGUUGUAAUUAUCAUUAUAAGUGGCAUUGUUCUACUAGCUCAAGGAAAUACUCAAAAUUUUCAAAAUUCGUUUGAUGGCCCCCCGCUUUCCGUGGGUCUCAUCUGCCUGGCGUUUUAUAAUGGGCUCUGGGCAUACGAUGGAUGGAAUCAACUCAAUUAUAUUACGGAAGAGCUGAAAGAUCCUUAUAGAAACCUGCCACUGUCUAUAAUCAUUGGAAUACCACUGGUCACCGUUUGCUACAUCCUGAUCAAUGUGUCCUAUUUCACGGUCAUGACGUCGACAGAACUUUUGCAGUCGCAAGCCGUGGCCGUGACCUUUGGAGACAGAGUUCUUUAUCCUGCCUCUUGGAUUGUUCCUCUCUUUGUGGCUUUUUCCACCAUCGGAGCAGCCAACGGGACUUGUUUUACUGCUGGCAGGCUUGUCUAUGUGGCCGGUCGAGAAGGACACAUGCUCAAGGUGCUAUCUUACAUCAGCAUUAAGCGGUUAACUCCAGCCCCUGCUGUCCUAUUUUAUGGUGCAGUCGGUAUUAUUUAUAUCAUCCCAGGAGACAUCAAUACUCUCAUCAACUACUUCAGCUUUGCCGUUUGGCUGUUCUAUGGCUUAACGAUAGCAGGACUGAUUGUCAUGCGUUUUACUAGGAAAGAGCAAGAGAGGCCUAUCCGCGUGCCACUUGUCAUCCCCAUUAUUGUGAUGCUUGUUGCCGUCGUCCUGGUCCUGGCGCCCAUCAUCACCGCUCCUGAGCUGCCCUAUUUGUACUGCGUCCUGUUUAUUUUUAGCGGACUUAUCUUUUAUGUGCUUUUCAUCCACUAUAAAUUUGGAUGGGCCCAAAAAAUCUCAAACCCCAUUACUAUGUAUCUUCAGAUGCUGCUAGAAGUUGUUCCACCGGAAAGUGAUACUACCGAGGAAGACAAAACUUCUCAUUUUUAAUCCUGCAAAUGACUCGGGAGACACGUAACAUUGUUUUACUUCCAUGGCUCUAAUUUUGCGGAAGGAUCGGGAGGACUUUUGUGAGGCAGCCAGUGCCCCAAAAAAGCAUUCAACCAUAUUUAAAUGUUAUUUUGCUGUUACAUAUUGAGUUUUGCAGCACUUAGAAUACAAAGAUCGGCCGAGCCGCAUUUCAACACAGAAGAGAAAAAACCUGAAUAUUUCUGUCUGGCUUCAAAUACGGAACCCAAAAUGGAAAGCGUUCCAACUUCCAUAAGUUUGGGCAUUUUUCCCCUUUUUUGGCAGUGAACAGAAUGGUAUUACAGAACCAUCUACCAGCGGACAAGCACAGACGCAGAAAGACAACAUCUCAUGCAUUGAGCAUAUCCUUUAGAUUGAGAAGGCCUGAAACUCAAAACAAAUGACAGUGCCUUGGGCGGCAGUGGCUUUGGGGGCUGCAGAGGAAGAAGGAGUAGAAUGCCAACGUAUGCAUAUGUAAGGGAAAUGUUUGCAAAUGAUUCAUUGGCCCAGAAAAAAAAGAAUAUGAACAAGAGUAGACUUGCCUUUGGGUUCCACUCUGCUUCAUUAUCAAUGGGUUUCACACGGCAGACAAUGAAUUCCACCGCUUGAGGAGGCAACACCUGAAAAUGCUCCGGUAAAGAAAGCAACUGAUAAUUUUGAACUUGGCCAGUUCUGCCUUCAUCUAUAUACUUGACAUGAAUACUAUAAAACACACAUUUCCCUUCUUUGGGUGCAAUUUGUAACACCUGAACCCUGUAAGAAAAGAAAUGGGAAAACUGCAGUCACUAAAACUAAACAGAUAGCUCUGUAAGUUUUUUGUUGAACAAUUUCUUUCUAAGAGUUCCUAAACAUGUGCAAUCUCCCCUCCACAUCUCUCUCUGCUAAGCGGCCAAAGACAGGUGGCAGUUCACAAAUUGAUGCCUGAGGUCUAGAGUAACGAUCCUUUUGUGUACCUUAGGCUGCAUAUCAUGGAGCUGCACAAUUUUGGAGUUUGUUUCCAAAAGGUACCAAAUAAAAUUGAAAAAUACGUUAUAGGUGACAGCACAUUGCUGGCUAGGAGUAGAAUAUUAUGUACAGAUCAAAAUGUAUCAAAUAUCAUUGUUAAAUGGCUUGGAAAAUUGCAUUUUAUAACAAAAGAAUGCAUAUCCUUAAAAUAUGAUUUUUUCCGAUUUCUGUAAAAGUUGUUCAGAUGGAUUUGGUACCUUUUGGAAACAAGUUCCACAAUUAUCUCCAGCUUCUAUUGAAUAAUGUCCAUGAUAACAGACCAGAGAGGCCAAGAUCAAUCUCAAACUCAUAGACCAGGUUAGACAAAGGCAGGGUCAGUGAGGCAGAGCCUGUGCACAGCUUCUUCCAUGGCCUCUGACUGGCCAUAGGAGUGUGUGUCUAGGCAAAAUAUCAGCUUGGCCUUUGGGAAAGGAAUCAUGGCAAUGGUUUUGAAUCAGAGACUGGUUGGCCAUCUAUCAGGAGGAUUUGAUUGUGUGAUCCUCCAUGCCAGGUGGUCAGACUGGGUGGCCCUUGUGGUUUCUUCCAACUCUGAUCCUAUUCCUCUCUGACUGCAACAGCUACAGGUGAGUUGGCAAAGCUGCAUUGGGGAUAACCUGGAUGCCCCUGUAAUACUGGCUCAAAGCGGUUGCAAUGGAGAAAUCAAGAAUUCAUUUGUGUGAGGCCCAUAAAGGUACUACUACACUUAAGCAACUAUGUUUUAGGCCAGCAAAAGUCAACCCCCUUGUUCUAGCCAUCAAUCACAGUGCAAAUCUAUUCUGAAAUAUGUAUUUGUGUGUCUCUGUGUGCGUAUAUUUUAAAGUUAUUUCAAGAUCAAGCACUAACCUAUGAAUAUAAUUUUUCUCAUGUACUCCAUAUAAGGCAAGCUUUUCCACCAAACUAACAGAGAUGCAAUUACUGGAUUUCUUAUAAUAUUGAUGCAUCUCUUUUUCUAGAGCAGUAUAUUGAUCCUUUGUUUUAUCUACUAUGCGGCCGAAGUAGUUUGUAGCAUCCACGAUAAACAGAGGCAGGAUCUGAAAGAGCAGAAAUAAGGAGCCGCAUGCUUAAAGACAGGCAAUGGAAGAUUUCCACUGGAUUUAAAUGAAAACACACCUCCCCCCCCCCCCCCCCCCGAUAUUAAGAAUUCAUGAACCCUGUGAGCAAAAUGUUAGCUGUGGCCUGCACAUGGCUCCCAUGGUCAUUGCUAUGGCCCUCAUUGACCUCCCAGGGGCCAAUCACAUAGGCCUUUUGGCUACACUAUUGUUCCUUAUGUUUUUAAAGAGACUGCAAAGACCCUUUUUCUAAAACAAGAAGUACACAGAAAGUGGCUUCCCGUACUUUCCUGUUGCUGGAAAAGGCUUCUUCAAUGUAAACAAAGCACAAGCAAACUUCGGCCCUCCAGGUGUUUUGGACUUCAACUCCCACCGGCUGUUAGGAAUUGUAGGAGUUGAAAUCCAAAACAGCCGAAGGGAGGGCUGAAGUUGGCCCAGGCUUGAUGUAGAACAAUGAAGUGUGGGAUCCAAAUUAAAAGGGAAAAAGAACAGCAUGGAAAAGGGGACCUUGAUCUUUCAAGGCUUAUCUCCCUGAAUUGUUUUCAGUUGGUAAAAUCAGCUCAUUUCCAAUAUCAACAUCCCAAAGUCUGGGGAGGACAAUGGGACUCGGCUUUUCUCACUUGCAAAACCUGCUUUAAACCAGACCUUUCCACCUCCUUCUUUCUAUCCAACUGUACAGUCCCCAUUGUAUGAACACAGAGUUUUCGGAUAAAGUAUUUUUUGUCACAUCGGAUGAAAUUAUCUCAAAGACUCAGUGACUUAUUUUUUUUUAAAAAAUCAGUGUUGUGGCUAAGUGGAUUUCUCUGUCCGCAAUUAAGAAGCAACAAUGAAACUCUUUCAUUAACUCACAGUUACGUUUCCAGCUGUUGGCUGAGUGCUAUUUCUCUCUCCUUUGGGGAAAUCUACUUGUAAACUAAUUCGAUGUCUAUCAGGGCAGCGUUUUUUAUCCCUGCAGAUUUAGAAAGGAGAAUGAAGUACAGUACUCACUUAUCCAACAUUCUGGAUUAUCCAAUGCAUUUUUGUAGUCAAUGUUUUCAAUGCAUCGUGAUAUUUUGGUGCUAAAUUUGUAAAUACAGUAAUUACUACAUAGCAUUACUGCGUAUUGAUCUACUUUUUCUGUCAAAUUUGUUGUAUAACAUGAUGUUUUGGUGCUUAAGUUGUAAAAUCAUAACCUAAUUUGAUGUUUAAUAGGCUUUUCCUUAAUCACUCCUUAUUAUCCAACAUAUUCGCUUAUCCAAUGUUCUGCCGGCCCGCUUAUGUUGGAUAAGUGAGACUCUACUGUAGUUUAAAAUAAUUAAUUGACAGUUUUGCACACAGGCUUUAAAGAGUUAAUGUUGGCAAGGAACAAAAAACCAUGUAAUGUUUAGGUGAUAAGUCGUCAUGAUAUCCAUAAUAUCAAAUACAAAUGCCACAAAACCUAUUUUCAAACUAUG